rnacentral:rRNA from 1 species
CAGUAGCCGCGGGAAUACGUAGGUGGCAAGCGUUGUCCGGAUUUAUUGGGCGUAAAGCGAGCGCAGGCGGUUUCUUAAGUCUGAUGUGAAAGCCCCCGGCUCAACCGGGGAGGGUCAUUGGAAACUGGGAGACUUGAGUGCAGAAGAGGAGAGUGGAAUUCCAUGUGUAGCGGUGAAAUGCGUAGAUAUAUGGAGGAACACCAGUGGCGAAGGCGGCUCUCUGGUCUGUAACUGACGCUGAGGCUCGAAAGCGUGGGGAGCGAACAGGAUUAAAGACCCGUGUAGUCCCUGUCUCUUAUAC